rnacentral:pre_miRNA from 1 species
UUUCUACUCCCUCCGUCCGAAAAUACUUGUCAUCAAAAUGGAUAAAAAGAGAUGUAUCUAAAACUAAAAUACGUCUAGAUACAUUUCCUUUUAUCCAUUUUAAUGACAAGUAUUUCCGGACGGAGGGAGUAUUUG